rnacentral:rRNA from 1 species
AGAGUUUGAUCAUGGCUCAGAGUGAACGCUGGCGGCGUGCUUAACACAUGCAAGUCGAACGAGAACGGAUUAUAGCUUGCUAUAAUUGUCAGCUAAGUGGCUCACGGGUGAGUAAUAUAUAGUUAACCUGCCCUCAAGAAAGGAAUAACAGUUGGAAACGACUGCUAAUGCCCUAUAUGCCUUUAAUACAUAAGUAUGCAAGGGAAACGCUUUAGUGCUUGAGGAUGGGACUGUAUGGUAUCAGCUUGUUGGUGAGGUAAUGGCUCACCAAGGCUAUGACGCCUAACUGGUUUGAGAGGAUGAUCAGUCACACUGGAACUGAGACACGGUCCAGACUCCUACGGGAGGCAGCAGUGGGGAAUAUUGCACAAUGGACGAAAGUCUGAUGCAGCAACGCCGCGUGGAGGAUGACACAUUUCGGUGCGUAAACUCCUUUUAUAUGGGAAGAUAAUGACGGUACCAUAUGAAUAAGCACCGGCUAACUCCGUGCCAGCAGCCGCGGUAAUACGGAGGGUGCAAGCGUUACUCGGAAUCACUGGGCGUAAAGAGCGUGUAGGCGGGUAUAUAAGUCAGAAGUGAAAUCCAAUAGCUUAACUAUUGAACUGCUUUUGAAACUGUGUACCUAGAAUGUGGGAGAGGUAGAUGGAAUUUCUGGUGUAGGGGUAAAAUCCGUAGAGAUCAGAAGGAAUACCGAUUGCGAAGGCGAUCUACUGGAACAUUAUUGACGCUGAGACGCGAAAGCGUGGGGAGCAAACAGGAUUAGAUACCCUGGUAGUCC